ensembl:snRNA U2 U2 spliceosomal RNA
AUUGCUUCUCGGCCUUUUGGCUAAGAUCAAGUGUAGGAUAUAUUCUUCCCUAAAAUAGAUUUCCCACAAAUCUAUUUUUUCCUAAAAUCAAUUUCCAGAAAAAUUGAU